GAUGAAGAACGCAGCGAAAUGCGAUAAGUAAUGUGAAUUGCAGAAUUCAGUGAAUCAUCGAAUCUUUGAACGCACAUUGCGCCCCCUGGUAUUCCGGGGGGCAUGCCUGUCCGAGCGUCAUUACAACCCUCAAGCUCAGCUUGGUGUUGGGCCCCGCCGCCCCGGCGGGCCCUAAAGUCAGUGGCGGUGCCGUCCGGCUCCGAGCGUAGUAAUUCUUCUCGCUCUGGAGGUCCGGUCGUGUGCUCGCCAGCAACCCCCAAUUUUUUUCAGAUUGACCUCGGAUCAGGUAGGGAUACCCGCUGAACUUAAGCAUAUCAAUAAGCGGAGGA
rnacentral:misc_RNA from 1 species